rnacentral:rRNA from 1 species
UACGGAGGGUGCAAGCGUUAAUCGGAAUUACUGGGCGUAAAGCGCACGUAGGUGGCGAGAUAAGUUGGAUGUGAAAAACCGGGGCUUAACCUCGGCCGUGCAUUCAAAACUGUCUAGCUAGAGUAAGGGAGAGGGGGGUAGAAUUUCAGGUGUAGCGGUGAAAUGCGUAGAUAUUCGGAGGAACACCAGUGGCGAAGGCGGCUACCUGGUCCGGAUCUGACGCUGAGGUGCGAAAGCGUGGGGAGCAAACAGG